rnacentral:rRNA from 1 species
GACGAACGCUGGCGGCGUGCUUAACACAUGCAAGUCGAACGGAAAGGCCCUGCUUUUGUGGGGUGCUCGAGUGGCGAACGGGUGAGUAACACGUGAGUAACCUGCCCUUGACUUUGGGAUAACUUCAGGAAACUGGGGCUAAUACCGGAUAGGAGCUCCUGCUGCAUGGUGGGGGUUGGAAAGUUUCGGCGGUUGGGGAUGGACUCGCGGCUUAUCAGCUUGUUGGUGGGGUAGUGGCUUACCAAGGCUUUGACGGGUAGCCGGCCUGAGAGGGUGACCGGCCACAUUGGGACUGGGAUACGGCCCAGACUCCUACGGGAGGCAGCAGUGGGGAAUAUUGCACAAUGGGCGGAAGCCUGAUGCAGCAACGCCGCGUGCGGGAGGACGGCCUUCGGGUGGUAAACCGCUUUCGCCUGUGACGAGGCGUGAGUGACGGUAAUGGGUAAAGAAGCACCGGCUAACUACGU